rnacentral:lncRNA from 1 species
GCCAUGGCUAGGAGAGAUCUCACUACAUUUUUGUGUGUGCUGAGUAGAUUUUCCUCUGCUUUGAAAUGAAGAUAUUUUUCUUGUUAAACCAAUUUCCAGGUAACUUAUUUUUAGAAACGUAGCCCCAGACCUUUUCUCACUAACCAGGUAAAUUAGAGAAUGAGAGACUAUAAUAGCUCUUCCGGAACUUGAUUGUUUGUUUGCAGGGUCUGCAAAGGCAAAGAAUUGCUAGUGGCCAGGCAGAUCACAUAAAGUGUGAAAAGGCCAGUGGGGUGCAAGACAAAUGGAAGUGAUAAGGACUGGGGAGUUCAUUUCACAUCUACACUCAUUUUUUAAGAGUAAAACAUUGUAGAGUAUAAACAAAACUCAUUCCUGAGAUUAAUUUGGUUUCCAGGUCACCAUUUGUUAAACUCUAAUAAUCUAACCUGUGAAUCUUACAGAUUAAAAACAAAUAACAGAGGCACUGAGAGAGACAAUUUACAGAGCCAGUUGAAGAACAAGCAGAGAUCCCUGGAACAAAAAGAAUUACAAAGCAUAAAAGCUUUCAGCCGAAAAGAGGAACGGAAAAGAUGCCAACUUGUAUGGAGAUGUGGAAGUGAGAAAACCUUUGAUCAGUACUUCAUUAGAGUAUUCAAGAGGAAGAAACUUGGAAGCUGAUGGAAAAAUCAAGCAGCCUAGCAUAAUCAUAAGCUUUACAUGCUCUUUUCAAAGGGUUUAUUUAUUUAUUGAAUUUUUUUUCAAUUCUCUUGUUUGUUAAUUUCUGUUCUGAUUCUAAGUCUAUUGGUCAAUCGGUGCUGAAAAUAAAAUGGGACCACGUGACCUGAGAAUACUCUGCCUUAUGAGUAUAUGGGUACUGUAUGACAAAGUCAGGCUUAAUGGUGAGGGUGAAGGGAUGAGAGAAUUGUAGGUGAAGGAGAAGAACACAGGAGUCGAACACUGACAAUGAUAUCAAAUCACUACUCGGAAAUUAUUUUGCUGGAAGAUAGUGAGAGUGAUUAUCCAAAACCCUGUGGAUUAGGUAUUAUACCAGCCUCUACCCUCUGGCCUUCAAGGGUUUCCAUAAUUUUUACUCUAAUAGCCUGAGCUAUCACUCCAUUUCUGACAAAAUUAAAGAUUGUUUAGUCAAACGAACUCUAAGGAAAGAUAAAUUCGAC